GAGGGCGGGAGCGGCAGACUCCGCUGCCAGCUCUACUGGCGUCCUGGCAAGGGCAGCGCCGAGGGGCGCUCCCGGUCCAGCUCUCCCGGCUCGGGGGUUCCUUGCCUAGGCGCCAGAGCCCCGGGCUCCCUGCCUCGGCCGCUGUGGCCUGCAUAGAGCGGCACUGCGCGCGGAGGCGAUGGGAGAGAAGAAGGAGGGCGGUGGCGGGGGUGAUGCAGCGGCCGCUGAGGGUGGCGCAGGGGCCCCGGCCAGCCCGGGGCUGCAGCAGUGCAGACAGCUCCAGAAGCUCAUCGGCAUCUCCAUUGGCAGCCUGCGCGGGCUGGGCACCAAGUGCGCUGUGUCCAACGACCUCACCGAGCAGGAGAUACGGACCCUGGAGGCCUGUAAAUUACUCUCUGAUGACUAUGAACAAGUGCGCAGUGCUGCAGUCUAGCUUAUCUGGGUUGUCAGUCAGCUCUAUCCUGAAAGCAUUGUCCCAAUUCCUUCUUCUAAUGAAGAAAUACGCUUAGUUGAUGAUGCGUUUGGAAAAAUUUGUCACAUGGUCAGUGAUGGCUCUUGGGUGGUUCAUGUUCAGGCAGCAAAACUGUUGGGCUCUAUGGAGCAAGUCAGUUCUCAUUUCUUGGAGCAGACCCUUGACAAGAAGCUGAUGUCAGAUCUGAGGAGGAAACGUACUGCACAUGAGCGUGCCAAGGAACUUUACAGUUCAGGGGAGUUUUCCAGUGGCAGAAAGUGGGAAGAUGAUGCUCCCAAGGAAGAAGUAGAUACCGGGGCUGUGAACUUGAUUGAGUCAGGAGCUUGUGGAGCUUUUGUUCAUGGGUUGGAAGAUGAGAUGUAUGAGGUUCGUAUUGCUGCUGUGGAGGCCCUCUGCAUGUUGGCCCAGUCUUCACCCUCUUUUGCUGAGAAGUGCCUUGAUUUCCUAGUUGACAUGUUCAACGAUGAAAUUGAGGAAGUACGUCUGCAGUCCAUACAUACCAUGAGAAAAAUCUCUAACAACAUCACCCUCCGAGAAGAUCAGCUUGACACUGUCCUGGCUGUGCUAGAGGAUUCAUCCAGAGAUAUUCGAGAGGCUCUUCAUGAACUCUUAUGCUGUACUAAUGUUUCAACCAAAGAAGGGAUUCAUCUUGCAUUGGUGGAGCUGCUGAAAAAUUUAACCAAGUACCCUACUGAUAGGGACUCCAUAUGGAAGUGCUUGAAGUUUCUGGGAAGUCGGCAUCCAACCCUGGUGCUUCCCUUGGUGCCAGAGCUUCUGAGCACCCACCCAUUUUUUGACACAGCUGAACCAGACAUGGAUGAUCCAGCUUAUAUUGCAGUUUUGGUACUUAUUUUCAAUGCUGCUAAAACCUGUCCAACAAUGCGAGCAUUGUUCUCAGGCACUAUGCCUACCUCCGAGACAGUCUUUCUCAUCUUGUUCCUGCCUUGAGGUUGCCAGGUAGAAAACUGGUGUCAUCAGCUGUUUCUCCCAGCAUCAUACCUCAAGAGGAUCCUUCGCAGCAGCUCCUGCAGCAGAGCCUUGAAGGAGUGUGUAGUCUUCAGCACUUGGACCCUCAGGGAGCCCAGGAGCUGCUGGAAUUCACCAUCAGGCCUUGCAGGAAAAGUCGUGGAAUGUAGCUGCCCCUUCGUAUUUGAAGCAGAGUGAUUUGGCCUCAGCAGCAGCGAAACAGAGACCUACAAAAUGGAAUUCAUGUAGAGUGGUGUGGAGAAUAAGCAGGUGGUGAUUAUACAUCACAUGAGGCUGCAGGCCAAAGCUUUGCAACUUAUAAUAACAGCACGAACUACACGAGGACUUUACCCCUUAUUUGGGAUGUGUGAAAAAUUUUUACAGGAAGUAGACUUUUUUCAGAGGUAUUUCAUCGCUGAUUUGCCCCACUUGCAGGACAGCUUUGUGGACAAACUCCUUGACCUUAUGCCCCGAUUCAUGACAUCCAAACCUGCAGAAGUGGUCAAAAUUCUACAGACCAUGCUGCGACAGAGUGCCUUUCUGCAUCUCCCACUUCCAGAGCAGAUCCACAAAGCCUCAGCCACCAUCAUUGAGCCAGCAGGCGAGUCAGACAACCCUUUGCGGUUUACCUCUGGGUUGGUGGUUGCCCUGGAUGUUGAUGCAACCCUGGAGCAUGUGCAGGAUCCUCAGAACACUGUUAAGGUCCAGGUCCCAGAGAGCUACUCACUGCAUGUGUCUUUGACCUGCUGUUGAUUCAUCUCCUCUGCUAAGAAGGUGGCUGAUGGCUGGGCUAUUUACACCUAGGAGGGUGUUCCAGGCCAGGCCCCAGGGAGCCUAAAAUAAUCAAAAAGGACACAUGAACCAUUAACAAGAAAAAUAUUUAAAUAAGAAACUCACCAAGCCAGGAGAAUAAUGAAUACCUGGAUGUGCCCCCUAGGAAUCUGGAUCUCUUCUCUUUUCCCCACCCUGCCCUCAACUCCCCUUACAUACAUACAGCCUGGAUCACAAGACCCAAGAAAACCAUUCCACCAGCUGCUGAGAGAAGAGCCACAAAAGGACCCAGAACUUCUCCAUGGCUACCUUAGAGCACCCUAAAAUGUGCUAACAGCCAUUGUUAGCAUUCAGGAGCUGUUUAUUCCCAUUUUCACACUACACUAAAGAAUUUUAAACAAUCACAAGAUAGACUGGCUGGAAGUUGGUGCUUGGAACAUCCCACGUCACCUAAAAGCACAGUGCUGCAAUCUCAGAAACCCCAGGCUCAGCCAGCAGAGAGAGGAGAAGCAGCUGGACAUUGGAGACUAUGAUUGGACAUUAGAGAGAAGGAGCUUGACUUCACAGAGAAAGCAUGAUGGAAUAAUUUCAGAGAAAAGUCUGGCCAGGGAUGACCAGACUUCAGGGGAAGAUAAUCUUGCUCAAUAUCCUUUUCUGCUCCCCUUCCUGCUGAGAGUCACUUUGAUUGGCAAUAAAAUAUCUCACAUUUACCAUCUUCAAUUUGUUCUUGCAACCUCAUUCCUCCUGGAUGCCAGACAAGAACUCAGGUGCCAUGAGUAUGGGUGCAAAAGGCUAUCACACUGUCCCUCCACUGAGCUGUUAACACUUAAGCUAUCCAUGGACAGCAAAGCUAAAAGGGCACUGUAAGAGUCCUUCUGGGGUUUCAGAAGUCAUGAGCAUCCCCCAGAUGCUGCCAUGGGGCCAGUACAGAGUUUGCUCCUGCCAGAGUCCAAAAAUGUCUCAGCUCCUGCACCCAGUCACCUGCAUGCUCCCCCUCCCACAAGUGGUGGAGCACAGUGGGCUGAGUGAGUGGAGUUUGCCCCUGCCAGCACCCGUGCACUCCAGUUCCCACCUGUGAAGGUGUCAGAGAGAUAUUCUGCUUAAAAAUCAGAGUGACUCCAUCUUAAAUAGCAGCUGGGUGAGAUAAGGCUGAGACCUACUGGGCUGCAUUCCCAGGAGGUUAGGCAUUCUAACCUUCUAUCAGGAUGAGAUAGAAGGCCAGCAUAAGAUAUAGGUCACGAAGACUCUGCUGAUAAAACAGGAUGUGGUUUAAAUAAAUGCCAGCCAGAACCCACCAAAACCAAGAUGGUGAUGCUCAUUCUCACUGCUCAUUAUAUGCCAGUAUAAUGCAUUUGCAUGCAAAAAGACUCUACCACCAGUGCCAUGACAGCUUACAGAUGCCAUGGCAAGAUCUGGAAGUUACCCUGUAGCCUCUAAAAUGGGGAAGAACCCUCAGUUCUGGAAAAUUUCUGCCCCUUUCCUGAAAAACUCAUGAAUAAUCUACCCUUUGUUUAGCAUAUAAUCAAGAAACAACUAUAAGUAUAGUCAAUCGAGCAGCCAAUCUCACCGCUCUGUCUAUGGAGUAGUCAUUCUUUUAUUUACAUCUCUAAUAAAAUUGCUUUCACUUUACUGUA